UGGAGAGUUUGAUCCUGGCUCAGGACGAACGCUGGCGGCGUGCUUAACACAUGCAAGUCGAACGGAAAGGCCCUUUCGGGGGUACUCGAGUGGCGAACGGGUGAGUAACACGUGGGUGAUCUGCCCUGCACUUUGGGAUAAGCCUGGGAAACUGGGUCUAAUACCGGAUAGGACUACGCGAUGCAUGUCGUGUGGUGGAAAGCUUUUGCGGUGUGGGAUGGGCCCGCGGCCUAUCAGCUUGUUGGUGGGGUGAUGGCCUACCAAGGCGACGACGGGUAGCCGGCCUGAGAGGGUGACCGGCCACACUGGGACUGAGAUACGGCCCAGACUCCUACGGGAGGCAGCAGUGGGGAAUAUUGCACAAUGGGCGCAAGCCUGAUGCAGCGACGCCGCGUGAGGGAUGACGGCCUUCGGGUUGUAAACCUCUUUCAGCUCCGACGAAGCGCAAGUGACGGUAGGGGUAGAAGAAGGACCGGCCAACUACGUGCCAGCAGCCGCGGUA
rnacentral:rRNA from 1 species